UACAGAGGGUGCGAGCGUUGUUCGGAAUUAUUGGGCGUAAAGGGCGCGUAGGCGGUGCCACAAGUCACUUGUGAAAUCCCCGGGCUUAACUCGGGGCCUGCAGGCGAAACUGUGGUGCUGGAGUAUGGGAGAGGUGCGUGGAAUUCCCGGUGUAGCGGUGAAAUGCGUAGAUAUCGGUAGGAACACCAGUGGCGAAGGCGGUCUCCUGGGGCAUUCUUGACGCUGAGGCGCGAAAGCUGGGGGAGCGAACGGG
rnacentral:rRNA from 1 species